UUAGAGCUUGCUUCCAAAAAGUUGCGGCGGACGGGUGAGUAACACGUGGGCAACCUGCCUGUAAGACUGGGAUAACUCCGGGAAACCGGAGCUAAUACCGGAUAACAUUUUCUCUUGCAUAAGAGAAAUUGAAGAUGGUUUCGGCUAUCACUUACAGAUGGGCGUGAUGCAUUAGCUAGUUGGUGAGGUAACGGCUCACCAAGGCAACGAUGCAUAGCCGACCUGAGAGGGUGAUCGGCCACACUGGGACUGAGACACGGCCCAGACUCCUACGGGAGGCAGCAGUAGGGAAUCUUCCGCAAUGGACGAAAGUCUGACGGAGCAACGCCGCGUGAGUGAUGAAGGCUUUCGGGUCGUAAAACUCUGUUGUUAGGGAAGAACAAGUACAAGAGUAACUGCUUGUACCUUGACGGUACCUAACCAGAAAGCCACGGCUAACUACGUGCCAGCAGCCGCGGUAAUACGUAGGUGGCAAGCGUUAUCCGGAAUUAUUGGGCGUAAAGCGCGCGCAGGCGGUUUCUUAAGUCUGAUGUGAAAGCNCACGGCUCAACCGUGGGAGGGUCAUUGGAAA
rnacentral:rRNA from 1 species